rnacentral:lncRNA from 1 species
GUGGAGAGGAGAAUGGAGAAAGGGAAUCCUUAUCUCGUGGGCAGAUGGAAGAUGUUCAGCAUAGAUAAAAAGUAGAAAAACAGAGGCAAAGAGAAGGAAGACCUAGGAGUUGAAAACCCAUAGAGGGCAGGAACGUCAAAGAGUUAAAAAGAGGAAAGGACAGAGAGGAGGAAAAUUGAGCAUGGAACAAAGAGAAACAGAGGGGUAGGGGUUCUAAACAUGGAAUCCUAACUCUAUAGCCCCCCUAGAAUCUGUCAAACCGUUAAAUAAACAUUCUCACAAACGUUAAUAGAAACAAAGAAGAAAGAAUUUGUUAGGAAGUCAACAUCUGGUGAAUUUGGCAUAUUGUCAUUGACAAAUUGAUCUUUUGGCAGAUGGAACAAGCUUUCAGUUAAUUGAUUUUCUUCACAUUGGAUUGCUGCCAAACAAAGUUGUAUGAUUACAGAAGUUUGGGAAACCAUAGGUUUGGUUUGGCUGAGUAUUUAGUGUCUCAUAGGAAAUGUUGCUGUGCUAUAAAGCAAGAUUGGUCAAUCAAGGUCAAGCAAGAGGCUAUCUACUUCUGAGUGCCUAGCCCAUGCACAGCCUCAUCACCUUGAUCACAGCUUAUUGGACCAAAGCAGAUAUUGUGUCAGCAUAAGAGGAGACAAAUUUCACAAUGGGACAAGGGAGGCCAAGUCGAUGUACAAGGUUACAUAAGACCAUGGUUUCACAGCUCUGACAGGGGACACUGGGUGACUUGUACGUUUAGACCACACGGAUUAGAAAUUAUAGCAUGUUGGCAGGACUGUCCCCAACAGAACAGCAUUCUUCAUGCGUGCUCUUGACUUAUUGCUACUACUACUGAUUUAAAAAAUUGUUUUAUUUAUUACUUGUUAUAAUCUAAUUCUUGUAACAAUAGCAAUAAAUGUUAAUUCAGCACUUUUUCA